rnacentral:rRNA from 1 species
UACGUAGGGGGCUAGCGUUGUCCGGAAUCAUUGGCGUAAAGCGCGCGUAGGCGGCCCGGUAAGUCCGCUGUAAAAGUCAAAGGCUCAACCUUUGAAUGUCAGUGGAUACUGCCGGGCUAGAGUCCGGAAGAGGCGAGUGGAACUCCUGGUGUAGCGGUGGAAUGCGCAGAUAUCAGGAAGAACACCAACGGCGAAGGCAGCUCGCUGGGACGGUACUGACGCUGAGACGCGAAAGCGUGGGGAGCGAACAGG